UGUGGCAUCUUUCUGAACUCCCCCGACCUUCCGAGCUUCCAUAUUACCAUCCGGACUUCUCUGAUAUUGAGCUUCUCCAUUCAUCUAUCGGACUGCUCCAAACGCUCUCUGAACUCCGCUAUCAGUCAAUUUUCUACAGUGAUCGACUAUUCUCCGAAUCCCUUCCAUACUUCUUCCAGCCACGGACGACUCUACUCCGAAUUUCUUUCGAACUUUGUCAGUGUUCGAACUUCUUCGAUA
rnacentral:lncRNA from 1 species